rnacentral:lncRNA from 1 species
CGGGAGCUUCCCGGGACUCGGAUGCGGAGCAGCAUCCCCCGGGGACCCGGCGCCCCGGGCGGCCGCGGUGUGGGGCUGACCCACGGGAAGAAAGCUCCCGGGGCGAUGCUCAGUUGCACCCCCCGCCCCCCAAACGCUCCCGAAUAUUUCGGAUCCCGCGUGUCUCCCUCCCUGCGAUGAAGCAGCAGGUCCCAGUUGUGGUCGGUGGCAUCUCCCCCACACCGACAAGGACCCCAUUAAGACAGAUCAAUUAGACCAGACGCUGGAAGAAGCAUCGGAAAACCGGCUUGGAGACGGCGCAGAGGUUCUUGAGAUCAUUACACAGUUGCCAGCAGAAGCCUUUCCCGGCAGGAAUGCUGUGAUCCCGGUUCAGCAGGCUUUGUGCUCCGGUGUUGGAGAGCCACGAGCCACCCAGAAGCAGAUUCCGAGGCUGGCAAGCACCACCAAGUGGCAGAAGAACAUCACUCACCAGCAGAGUGUCGUGCAAAUACAUACGUUAUUCAGCCUCAUUAUCAGCCCCGCAGAAACAGACAGGAGUUGUGUUUUGGGGGCAGUGAGGAUCAGAUUAGUGAUGGGAUGAGGGUUUCAACUCCCUCCACCCCCACCCCUGACAGAGUCCAACCAGUUUACUCAUUAGAACUGAAUUAAAAACUAGGUCUACAAAACAAAAACAAAAAACAACCCCAAAAAACUAGGUCUACAAAUUGCACUUUGCACCGUGCAUUAUGUGAAUACCAGCCAUACAGUCCAGUUGGCUCAUGCAUUUGCAAAAUUUCUCAUUUUAAAAGUGUACAGAAUAUUUGCUUUCAAUAUCUCUUAGAACAGUUUUGUUUUUUUGUUUGUUUGUUUUUGUUUUGUUUUGUUUGAGACAUACACACUCUAGAAUCAUCUUGGAGGGGGUAGAGUCAAGUCGUAUUUUUUUUUUUAUGAUUUUAUUUAUUUAUUCAUGAGAGACACACACAGAGAGAGAGAGAGGCAGAGACACAGGUAGGGGGAGAAGCAGGCUCCAUGCAGGGAGCCAGACGUGGGACUUGAUCCCAGGUCACUGGGGUCACGCCCUGGGCUGAAGGCGGCGCUCAACCGCUGAGCCACUGGGCGGCCAGUAUUUUUAAGUAGAAAUAGCCCAGAGAUUUUUUCCCAUGGAACUUUUUAAAAAAGUUUUUCCCCCUCUGUGGAAAGGUCAUUGAUAAGAACCGUGAGGUUACUCAGAGCGUUAAUGGGGGUGCAGUUGAGAGAAGGGGGGGGAAGUGUUUCUAGAACAAAAAUAAUUUAAGAUAAAUAAAUGAACCUGAAAAAAUAAGACCCUGCCAAUCAGACCUCUAUCUCCUUUCUGAUCUCUACUACUUUCGGAUGUUUCAAUAACGGUAAGAUACAUAGUGCGCUUAAGUGUCGUGCAGGGGGGAACACCUUUUUCAUCCCCACGAAACCCCUAUGAGACAAAGAAUUCCUUAUCUCCAUUUUAUAGAAAAGACACAUAGCUUUCAAAGUAUCAGGGGACUUGGCCAGUGUAACAAACCUGGCCAGUGGCACAGCUAGGACUCAGCACAGUUUUGUCUGAGGUCAGAGCUCAAAACCUCUAUCACCAUUGUCUGCUGCACCACGAUUACCUUUCAGCCUCUGAAAAAGGGAACCAACCAGGAAUGUAUUAAUUCUGUCCAUGCAGUCUCUGUCUGCAGAGUACCAGUAAGACCCAAACAUUAAAUCUCAACCCUGAGCAAUCAGAUGUAGUGGUUUCCAUACUUGCAAAUCUUAUGAAUUAAUUCAUACGAAUUACUUAUAAAGCCUUUUAAAAGAUAGACAAAUUCCAGGUCUCACUAGCAGGGAUGUUAAUUCAGAAAGUUUGGAGUUGGACCAUGGAAACUAUAUUUUAAUACUCAUCCUUGUUUGAGAACAGAGGUCUACAUAUAGGUCUACACCUAUAUGACAAAUGAAAGGAUAUCUAGAUUCUUGCCCAGUUUUCACAGAACUUUUGGUAGAGAAGUUUCUAAGACAAGGGUUUAUUCUAAAAAAAAUAAUAAUAAUAAGAUGGGAAGGAUGCCUGGCUAGCUCAGUCCAGUAGAGCAUGAGACUCUUAAUCUCCAGGUCUUGAGUUUGAGCCCCAUGUUGGGCAUACAGAUUACUUACAAAAAUUUUUUUUAAAGAUAAAGUCUUAUACUCAGUGUGUAGAUGAGCUGUUAUACACAUCUGUCUCUAUAGCUCUAAUUAUUGAAUUUCCUUAUGCAUAUAUUUACCAAAUAUGUAAUAUGCAUCUAUUAUGUCUGACUUAGUAGUUUUGUGACCAUGGACAGUUGCCUCAUUUGUAAAAUAGAGGUAAUAAAACCUACCUCCAAGUGUUUUUCUGAAGAUUAAGGGAGAUAUAACAUGUGAUAUAAUGAUAAUGGGAUGAAUAUAUAUAUAUUCAUUAUAUAUAUAUUCAUUCAUUAUAUAUAUUUAUAUACAUAUGGGAUGAAUCCUUAUAUAAAUGAAUGAAUGAAUACCUAAAUACAUAUGUAUGUAGUCAGCUAUGUAUUUAUAUAAUAUAAUCAUAUAUAAAUAUAUAAUCAAA